rnacentral:other from 1 species
UAACUUCUGAAAUAUUCGAGAGGUUCUAUAUUUUGAACCUACAUUAUAAAAAAGGGAGUUCAAUAUUUAGAUGUAGAUAUGUACUUUCUUUUAGAAAGAGAUAGAAGCAUCUUUGAGGACACCCACCUAUCGGAGAGAUAGGUGUCAAAAUUAGAACUUCGGUAUUUUGGAUUAUAA